GCGUCCAUUCUAAUGUAGUUACAUUUUCGGACUCUGAUAAUGGCACAUGUAUUAAAUUUGACAUGUCGCUUUUUUUUAUUUAUCAAUCACU